rnacentral:rRNA from 1 species
UGGGGAAUAUUGGACAAUGGGCGCAAGCCUGAUCCAGCCAUGCCGCGUGAGUGAUGAAGGCCUUAGGGUUGUAAAGCUCUUUUAGCAGGGAAGAUAAUGACGGUACCUGCAGAAAAAGCCCCGGCUAACUUCGUGCCAGCAGCCGCGGUAAUACGAAGGGGGCUAGCGUUGCUCGGAAUUACUGGGCGUAAAGCGCACGUAGGCGGCUUCUUAAGUCGGUGGUGAAAUCCUGGAGCUCAACUCCAGAACUGCCUUCGAUACUGGGGAGCUCGAGUCCGGGAGAGGUGAGUGGAACUGCGAGUGUAGAGGUGAAAUUCGUAGAUAUUCGCAAGAACACCAGUGGCGAAGGCGGCUCACUGGCCCGGUACUGACGCUGAGGUGCGAAAGCGUGGGGAGCAAACAGGAUUAGAUACCCCCGUAGUCC